rnacentral:pre_miRNA from 1 species
GAUCUACUCCCUCUGUUCAGAAUUACUUGUCGUAGAAAUGGAUGUAUCUAGAUGUAUUUUAGUUCUAGAUACAUCCAUUUUCAAGACAAGUAAUUCCGAACGGAGGGAGUAGUAU